rnacentral:rRNA from 1 species
AAAACGACUCUCGGCAACGGAUAUCUCGGCUCUCGCAUCGAUGAAGAACGUAGCGAAAUGCGAUACUUGGUGUGAAUUGCAGAAUCCCGUGAACCAUCGAUUCUUUGAACGCAAGUUGCGCCCCAAGCCGUUAGGCCGAUGGCACGCCUGCCUGGGUGUCAC